CCUAGUCAAAAGUUUAAAGACUGUUUACGCAUUCACAAAAAGGGUAAAAACACAUCUGGGUGGAAAUAGAAUUCACCUCCGAAAAAUUGCAGAAACCGGUCCAGAAAAAAGGAUCUUUUCAUUUCUAAAACCCUCGAAGAGCAAGAAGCUGAAAAACCCUGAAUUUGAGAAAGCAUACAAAUUGCAACAAAAACCAGAACUUUUGUAUUGAAAUUUGAAAAUGUUUGGUCGAAGCAGAUUCCUCUCGUUUCCUAUGGUAAUUGGAGCAGUCGUGAUUGGAGUUGUUUCAGGCAAGGCAAUAUUUGGACCCCCACUUGAUGAGUACUGGAAAAAGAAGCAGCAGGAAGAGACAGCUGCAAAGGAGACUGAUGCAAGCUCAAGUUAACCAAAAUAUACUGAUCUUCUCAUGUUUGAUGACGUCAUAGAGGAGUUUUUGCGCAGGGAUGCGGGUCAUUCAUUAAUUCAUUUACGCACGUUUAGACACUAGGACCAAGGCAACUG